AACGAACGCUGGCGGCAUGCCUAACACAUGCAAGUCGAACGAGAUCUUCGGCCUUAGUGGCGCACGGGUGCGUAACGCGUGGGAAUCUGCCCUUGGGUUCGGAAUAACAGUUAGAAAUGACUGCUAAUACCGGAUGAUGUCGUAAGACCAAAGAUUUAUCGCCCAAGGAUGAGCCCGCGUAGGAUUAGCUAGUUGGUGGGGUAAAGGCCCACCAAGGCGACGAUCCUUAGCUGGUCUGAGAGGAUGAUCAGCCACACUGGGACUGAGACACGGCCCAGACUCCUACGGGAGGCAGCAGUGGGGAAUAUUGGACAAUGGGCGAAAGCCUGAUCCAGCAAUGCCGCGUGAGUGAUGAAGGCCUUAGGGUUGUAAAGCUCUUUUACCCGGGAUGAUAAUGACAGUACCGGGAGAAUAAGCUCCGGCUAACUUCGUGCCAGCAGCCGCCGUAA
rnacentral:rRNA from 1 species